rnacentral:lncRNA from 1 species
CCCCGGGCAUGGUGGCGGGCACCUGUAAUUCCAGCUACUCAGGAGGCUGAGGCAGGAGAAUCGCUUGAACCCGGGAGGUGGAGCUUGCAGUGAGCUGAGACUGCACCACUGCACUCCAGCCUGGGCAACAAGAGUGAAACUCCAUCUCAAGAAAAAAAACCAAAAAAACAAACAACAAACAAACAAACAAACAAAAAAACCAAAAAAACCUCAAAAAACAAAAAACCACGAAAGCCCCAGCACCACCAAAGUUGUGCACAGCCUCAGUUGAGAAGCUCUACCAAGGCUAACAGGUAACAAGAAUCUACCCGCAGCACACAGAAGCAGAAUGCUGCUUUGCAAACAUAUUGAAGUAUUGAAAAUGGGUGUAAAUUUGGAACGGAUGAUUUUAGCUGAAGAUUAAUUACAUUAGCCAAACACAAGAACCAGUCUUUAAAAAUAGCAAGGGUUACACCCCUUUUCAGCAGCAUCUUAUUAAUUCCACAUCUUGCAAAUUUGACUUUGCAUUAAGAUGGACUAAUGUUUAUUUUUGCCUUCACUUUGAUAAAUGAGUUCACCAAGCAAUAACAUAAACAAGAGAGAAAGAAAAUGUUUACUUCACUUAUGCACAACCAACACCAUUCAUUUUACAGGUCUUCGGCGAGGACUAAAUGUUUCCACAAGAAUGUUGCUCACCCCUCCAUUACUACAUACUCUUCUGCUGAGCUCCAACCUGGCCUUUUAAUCAUUGGUGCUCAAGUGUGUCUUCCUUCUUAUACUAGAAUACUUCUUAGAAAUGAAAAAUUCAUUACAACAAAAUUUACAUUUACUACGCAGCUGUCUGCUAUGAUUUGUAAGUACAUAUAUCUUUUCUAUUGCUUAUGAAAUGAAAGUGUGGAGGUUUUUUUUUUUCUUUUUUUAGCUGUGUGUAUGUGUGUGUGUAUGCACAUGUGGUCCAUAAAAAGUAACUGAAUGAGUGCAGAUGAGAUUCAAUGAGAGGAGCCAUUUUCAAAGCGAAUGUCGGACAGACACAGACACCAUGGUUAGUUUUUUUUUUUUUUUUUUUUUUGAGACCGAGUGUCACUGUGUCGCCCAGACUGGAGUGCAGUGGCGCGAUCUUGGCUCACUGCAACCUCCACAAGCAGUUCUCCUGCCUCAGCCUCCUGAGUAACUGGGACUAGAGGCGUGCACCACCAUGCCCAGCUAAUUUUUGUAUUCUUAGUAGAGACGAGGUUUCACCAUGUUGGUUAGGCUGGUCUGGAACUCCUGACCUCAGGUGAUCCACUCACCUCGGCCUCCUAAAGUGCUGGGAUUACAGGCAUGAGCCACUGCACCCAGUCUUGGUUAGUUGGUUUCUGACAGCAAUGAUGAAGUAAUGAACUUGGUGUAAAAGCACCAGAUUCAGGUCAAGAUAUUUUUGAAAAAUAUAUUUUUGCUUAUUUUUAAUGAUAGCAUUUAUUUUUGUCAGCUCUUGAAAUUAAUAAGAGGGCUCCUAUCUGGUUUAUUCAUGGCUUCUUUAAACCUUGUCUCCACAUGUAUUUGUCAUAAUUAGUGAUGGAGAUUCCUAAGUUCCAAGGCUAACAGAAUAAUAUAGCUGUAAAUAUAGCAUAUCAUCAUUUGACUAAUUAAGUGGAAUCUAAGAAGAAAACAGUUAACUUCAUUUCUGGGUAGUAAUAUUGCAUUAUGGAC